rnacentral:rRNA from 1 species
UAGGGAAUCUUCGGCAAUGGACGAAAGUCUGACCGAGCAACGCCGCGUGAGUGAAGAAGGUUUUCGGAUCGUAAAACUCUGUUGUUAGAGAAGAACAAGGACGUUAGUAACUGAACGUCCCCUGACGGUAUCUAACCAGAAAGCCACGGCUAACUACGUGCCAGCAGCCGCGGUAAUACGUAGGUGGCAAGCGUUGUCCGGAUUUAUUGGGCGUAAAGCGAGCGCAGGCGGUUUCUUAAGUCUGAUGUGAAAGCCCCCGGCUCAACCGGGGAGGGUCAUUGGAAACUGGGGGACUUGAGGGCAGAAGAGGGGAGUGGAAUUCCAUGUGUAGCGGUGAAAUGCGUAGAUAUAUGGAGGAACACCAGUGGCGAAGGCGGCUCUCUGGUCUGUAACUGACGCUGAGGCUCGAAAGCGUGGGGAGCAAACAGG